UUAACAUUGAUUAAAGGAUUCAGAUAAUUUAUCCUAUAUUCUAAAGUGAAAGCUACCAUUAAGGAACAUGGCUCCAAAAUUUUAAUAUUUUUAAAAAAUAUUAAUUAAAUUAAAAUAAAUUUUAAUACCUAUCAUUUUUAAAAAAUAUAAUUUACAGGACUUCCAGGUAAACAUGGCUGCAGAGUAGACAUGGCUCACCUCCUUUCCUCAGACCUGACGACACAGACGACCUCAAAGGAUCACCCCCCCAAAAAAAAACAUCCUCAUAAGAUUGGAGGGACCCCAAACUAAGGCGCAGCACUGAAGGUUUUCUGUCAAAUCUUGAGGGAACAAGGAGUAAGCUGACUUCUGGAGAUCCAGUCUUUAAAGGGAUGAUGAGUGUAUCCAGACUUUUCAGGAACCCCUCAAAGCAAGGCAUUUUCUACUGUGAGGUUCUUGCUAGUGGAGAGUUUAGAACCAGUGCAUCUCUUUCAAGUGUAACAUAUUGGAUUUGGGUUGCUAAUCCUUUCUGCUACUUGCUUCCAUUUUAUGGAAAAAUAGAAGAUGAUUUUAAUUAAGUUCUGAGUGUCUCUGCUUUGGAGUGUGAAUAAGGGAGAAGCUAUUAGCUAUUUGAGCAUGUAGAAUUCAACUGGUUAGGAGUCUUUAUCCUCAGGAGUCAGCUCUAGGCUCAAGGUACUUAUACAUUUUAAUUUCAUUAAUAAUUUGUAAAAUAUUAAAAACUUUCUAAGAGACAGUGAUUUAAACUGGAUCCAAUUUUUCUUUUGGUUUUUGUCUAGACAGGUCAUUAAAGAUGGGGUAUGUCUGAUAAGAACAUGAUUGCUUGAGGCUAGAACUUCUACCCUUCCUCAACAUUCCUGUGAGAGAAGAGGAAGCCAGGAAUGAAAGGGAGGAGAGUACAGUGGCUGAGGUGAGAUUAAAACUGAAAGCAGAGCCCAAUAGGCAGAAAUAAGGGUGGGCUUGGAGAAUCAGUUCUGCCUCUAUAUGUUGGGAAGGGACACACCUAGUGCAGUCAAACUCUUCUAUCCACAGUGAUGCUCACUGACUAAACAGGACCAGAAAGUUGCUGCCUUUCCCCAAAUGAAAUGGUCCUUUAAUAGGACAGUCAUAUGCCUGUCAAUCUGAAAAACCCUAAAGAGCAUUCAUUGCAUAGCUAAUUGGUGGUUUGGUUUAUCUUCUCUGUAUAUUAUUUCCCUUCCUUUAUUAUAUGAUCCCGCCAAACUGAUUUAGUUACUGUCUCCCAUUCUUGUCCUGCCAUCCAUUUUUCCUUUCUUUUGUCUCACAAUAUUCUGUGUAGAAUGGACUUCUCAUAUUAUAAGUCUAUUGUAAAUCCCUUCAUCCACAUCUAGGUCAAGCUGUACUUUCUCCAUGAAACCUUCCUGAUCCACCAUUUGAAACUGAAUUCUCUAAUCUUCAUUCUUCACAGUAAUUUCUAUCUGCCUUUAUAACACUAGCACUCCACUUUGUAUCACAUGUUGAGUUGUUUCUCUAUAUUGUUCUUUUCUUCAAGUCAGGUCUUCUAGUUUUGUAUACUUUGCACAUGAUUUUAAUGAAGGUUUGUUGAAUUGAAUUGCUUGCAUGAAAAAUGUUUCAAGCUAGAACAAGGAGAUAGAUAGAUAAACCCCUCAAAUAUAACUAUCAUUUUUUUAACUAUGAAGAAGGCAAUGAUCCUUAACAAAACUAAAAAAGACUUUAUGUUUUAGAAAUCCAAAUAUAAAUACAAUAGGGUAAAAGUUUGACUGCUAGGAAUCAACACAGUUUUGCCACUUAUAAAAACUUUUCCCAGUCUUCAUUUGAAGCACGUGAGUUUCAGAAGAAAGAUUUUAGAUAAUUAAUGACACUGGAGAGUACAUGUUUAUAACACCCAUGCUUCAAGAACGGAAAGCGCAGAAUAACUAUUUUACAAGAUACCUAAGGCUACAUUUAAUAAGAAGAAAAUUGAUCUAGUAAGCAAGAAGAACCAUUUUCCAGACUUUAAUGUUUCAGUACAGUUCAUCUUCAAAUUAAAUCUCAGAAAUACCAAGAAACUGCAGAAAAUAAAUUUUGGCAUAAAUAUUAUGAUUUUGAAUUG
ensembl:lncRNA